UCGCUUGCGAGCGCUAAGCGUUAUGGCCAAAACUGCAUUCCUCUACUAGAAGCAGUUUCAAACGCGAUCAGUACGAGUCCAAGUUGCCGAGUUACUAAGCAGGAUCAUUGUUACAUGUUAGCAUGUCGAAUCGCUUCUUAUCCUGAAGGUAAAAAAAAAAAAAAAAACAUGUAAGAAACUGUGGCAGUCUCUCUCUAUAUAUACUGUGCAAAAAUGUACGCGAAUCUUGAGGGGCCGGUAUUGACAGUCUUUUUGCGUCGAUGCUAUUAUUUUUUUUUGUUAAGUGCAAACCGCUUCGUUGUUUGUUGAUUUCUUGUUUUGUGUUCGUGGUCGUCCCUCUUGCGCCCUCCAAUAGUUUUGGGAUUUGUCAAUGCUUGCCCGAGUGACACGACUAACUCUUUAUAGCAAAAAAAGUUUUUUUUUCUUAACUUAAGGUACAGUACCGUCCACUGUUAAAGAGAACACUCGAAUGGGCACCUUUCAUAUUGCUGGCCCCCUAGGGGCAAGUGGAUGUGAUAACAUUCUGUCAACCACCAUAAUAACUGCCAACCACCAAUAGUCCUAUGCAAAUCUAAGCCAUUGUGCUUUUGCAAGAGAGCAAAAUCCGGACAUACCCUACACGCAAGUGUUCCCUUUAACAAUGGACCCGUCUGUACAUACACGAAACCUAGUGCAGACGAGUGGUUGGAUUUAAAGAGGCCUGAGAGAGGAAGCGAAAACGUUUCCCUCACAGAAACAAGAGAGUGCUAAGAGAAUAAGUCUGCUUUGUGAUAUUUUCGUCUUCAAUAACCGAUAGUUUCACGUCGUCAUGGCAACGACAAUGUGGGCCAGCCGGGCUAUCCUUUAUUGAGCAGCACGAGUGUCUGGUAAGGCGCCAGUAAGCAUUGCGUUUGAAGGAGGAAAUGAACUGCGCUUUGAUGCAUGCGCAGUGAACUUGAUUGAGGGACUGUUGGGUCGACUGGUCUAUCGGUCAGCUUACAGCCAUGUUCGCUGGUCGGUUGGCCGAGCUAGCUUCUUUUUUUAUUGAGAAGUCUUCUGUUGGUGUUGCUCGUAGUUGUUUAGUUGAGCGUUGUCUUAUUGCUUAAUGGUCCAGUUGGUACAUUGGCUUAGUUAAGAAAACAGAGAAGACAUCAAAUGUCGUUUGAAACAUGAGAGUGUUCUGUUGUAAAUUAAUGAGUCUUUGCCGAUCAGCGUUUUUGACGCUUUUCACAAAAGUUUACUCCACGAACUUCAAAAUACUCAUCCGUAAACAGGCUGCACCGAUUCACAGAACUACACACCUCAGUUUGUGGCUAUAGUUUCGGAUUGUUAUGCAUCUUCAUAACCAACCACUGCGGUACUUUUCCUUGACAAAUUUGCUGAAAAUAGUGUUUAACCUACCUGUUCACCACUGCCCUUAAAACAUUUUGCAUGCAUUGAUAAAGAAGUCUUCUCGAGAGCCAUUAAUUUCUGAAAUCGCUUCAAAAACAAACUGGCCUGGUGCUGGCCCCUCUGUUAAUCGACUGGCUUCCCUGGAUAUUUGGCUGGUGAUCUUUAUACCGCAAAUAUUAGGCUUAUAGAGCAGUUCGCGUGUUGUUGGCCCUCCAGACACUUAAGAAACAAACUCCUCACCCUGAAAUAUUGACUGAAUGUUACGCGUGAGAUUAAUGCUACGCGAGAGACCACGCGUUGGUCUUCUAGUGAUAUAGAUCGCUGGGAGGUUUACUCUUCGAAAACACACAGUUCGCUGCCAUCCCGCAAUUCAUGCCACGCCCUUCAGUUCGGCGAACCGUCCAAUCGCAGGCCGCGUUACCGUGGUCACGUGGUCAACCCCCUCCGUGUCUUCACGACGUUUACACAAGCUGCCACCCUGCCGAGGACUGUGUGCCUCGUCUCUCCCCUUUGUGCCAUGGCGCUUUCCGUGUAUACCACGAAAUUGCGGCCGAUUAGUAGAUAUCGAAGCCGCAUGUGCAACUGACUCAUUGUGUGUUAUUUUUUUUCUUCGUCCUAGUGAAUGUAUAGUAAAGAAAAAAAAUGAAUAAAUUGUUCAAAACAG
rnacentral:lncRNA from 1 species